rnacentral:rRNA from 1 species
UACGUAGGGUGCGAGCGUUAAUCGGAAUUACUGGGCGUAAAGCGUGCGCAGGCGGUUUGCUAAGACCGAUGUGAAAUCCCCGGGCUUAACCUGGGAACUGCAUUGGUGACUGGCAGGCUAGAAUCUGGCAGAGGGGGGUAGAAUUCCACGUGUAGCAGUGAAAUGCGUAGAGAUGUGGAGGAACACCGAUGGCGAAGGCAGCCCCCUGGGUCAAGAUUGACGCUCAUGCACGUAAAGCGUGGG